rnacentral:rRNA from 1 species
AUACGUAGGUCCCGAACGUUGCGCGAAAUUACUGGGCGUAAAGGGUCCGUAGGCGGUCUGGUAAGUGGAAGGUGAAAGCCUGGGGCUCAACUCCAGAAUUGCCUUCCAAACUGCCGGACUUGAGGCAGGGAGAGGUCGGCGGAAUUCCCGGUGUCGCGGUGAAAUGCGUAGAUAUCGGGAGGAACACCAGUGGCGAAGGCAGCCGACUGGAACUGUCCUGACGCUGAGGGACGAAAGCCAGGGGAGCGAACCGGAUUAGAUACCCUAGUAGUCC